rnacentral:rRNA from 1 species
GAUGAACGCUAGCGGGAGGCCUAACACAUGCAAGCCGAGCGGUAUUGUUUCUUCGGAAAUGAGAGAGCGGCGUACGGGUGCGGAACACGUGUGCAACCUGCCUUUAUCUGGAGGAUAGCCUUUCGAAAGGAAGAUUAAUACUCCAUAAUAUAUUAAUUGGCAUCAAUUGAUAUUGAAAACUCCGGUGGAUAGAGAUGGGCACGCGCAAGAUUAGCUAGUUGGUGAGGUAACGGCUCACCAAGGCAAUGAUCUUUAGGGGGCCUGAGAGGGUGAUCCCCCACACUGGUACUGAGACACGGACCAGACGCCUACGGGAGGCAGCAGUGAGGAAUAUUGGUCAAUGGGUGCAAGCCUGAACCAGCCAUCCCGCGUGAAGGAUUAAGGUCCUAUGGAUUGUAAACUUCUCUUGUAUAGGGAUAAACCUACCCUCGUGAGGGUAGCUGAAGGUACUAUACGAAUAAGCACCGGCUAACUCCGUGCCAGCCGCCGCGGUAAUAC